rnacentral:rRNA from 1 species
AUUGAACGCUGGCGGCAGGCCUAACACAUGCAAGUCGAACGAGUGGCGGACGGGUGAGUAAUGUCUGGGAAACUGCCUGAUGGAGGGGGAUAACUACUGGAAACGGUAGCUAAUACCGCAUACCAUCGGAUGUGCCCAGAUGGGAUUAGCUAGUAGGUGGGGUAAAGGCUCACCUAGGCGACGAUCCCUAGCUGGUCUGAGAGGAUGACCGGCCAAACGGGAACGGAGCAACGGCCCGGACCCCUACGGGAGGCAGCAUGGGGGAAUAUUGCACAAUGGGCGCAAGCCUGAUGCGGCCAUGCCGCGUGUAUGAAGAAGGCCUUCGGGUUGUAAAGUACUUUCAGCGGGGAGGCGUUACCCGCAGAAGAAGCACCGGCUAACUCCGUGCCAGCAGCCGCGGUAAUUC